GUUUUUCUUUUAGUCAAGAUGAGUAAUAAGCCAGACUUGUCUGAAGUGGAGAAGUUUGGUCAAAACUGAAGAAAACUAACACUAAAGAAAAAAAUACUCUCCCUUCAAAGGAAAGUAAGUCAUGGAUGGGGCUGGGGGUUUCUAAUGGAGAAAAACAAUGGUGAACAUUGAUAGGCUCAGUAAAUAAACUCUUCUAGUAAAUUUUGCCACUAAGUAAGAAAUAAUUAUAGUACCACUGUAUUUAAUGCAACAGUUAAAAAUACCAAAUAGUUGUCUUCUUACUUGCAUUAUACAAAUGGUUCUCACAUGAUAGACCCAAGAAGUAAUGGGGGAAUAAAAAACUAAUUUCUUGUUGAAAAUUACUACAAAUAUCUUUACAACCAAUCUUGGAAUGUUAGACUUAGUACUAGAAAAAUCUUUGUUUUGUCUACUUAAUGGUUAUUAGGCAUUUUCUGCAUCUAGCCAUUUUGGCCUGUGAUUUCAUUCCUAGAAAACCACACAAACUGCAGUGUUGGCUUUCUCUACCUGAUGACAAAAUAAGGCAGAGAACAAGUUUAGAUCUUGGGUGCACUCAAGGCUCCCAGACUCAAGGGAUCAGGUUUGCCCUUGGGAGUUUUAGCCUGAUAGAGAAACUCCAAACAUAUUCACAAAAUUGAGGGACAUUUUUUGCCAUGUCAGUGUUACUUGAGUUUCACAGUUAGUCAUAAUUGUCUAAAGGGUAUAACUUCCUAAUUACAUAGUGAUAGUUAAACCUGAGGAAAAUGCUUCACUUCUUCAGUCUCAGAAUAAUCUAUGGAAAAAAUGGCAACAGCAUAAAUCUCCCUCUCAAAUGAAAAAAAAAAAAACAGUUGAUGUAAAUCCUAAUGAAUGUUCAGGUGGUUAACAUUCAUGCAUGCACAACACACACACUCACAUACACAUAUACACACACACUUGAAUGGGGAUUUGUGGUUAGUGCUUUGGCCUUCUAAAUUUAAAGCAGAUAUGGCAGCCUUCAGUAACUUGGCAAAGAACUCUUGGAAGAAAACUGAACUUCUAGAAAUAUACCUUCUUAAUGAUUUUUUGUGUUUGUUUUUUCCCCUAGCUAUCCAACAAGAUAAAGAGUGUGUUCAAACAUCAUAAAAUGUGGAUCUCCUCCCAACAGAAAAUUUCAACAUUGCUUUAGUGUCUUAGUUUGGGGCUUGUUUUUUUGUAAACUUAUGUGUUUGUAGCUAUUUUAGGCAUCUUCUGAUGUCUUCCCAUCCAUAUCCCCUAGCCAAGAGGUCAGGGGAAGCCAGUGUUCCCUUUUUUUAAACUUUCCAUUGGUACACACAUUCCAGUUGGCAGAUGCUGUUAAUAAUCUUACCAUUGAUGACAUUUCUGUGUGUAGUCCUUGCACCCCCAAAGGUUAAACCACUUUUAACUUUCUAUAGUGGCUGUAUUUGUUGUUCCAUAAUAUUCAUGAAGUGGCAUACAUUUGCACCUUCUCAGUUUAUUUUCAUUUCUAAUGUAGCGAUAAAAUAAUAAAU
rnacentral:lncRNA from 1 species